GACAGAGGGUGCAAACGUUGCUCGGAAUUACUGGGCGUAAAGGGCGUGUAGGCGGGCAGGUAAGUCGGGCGUGAAAUCCCUGGGCUCAACCCAGGAACUGCACUCGAAACUACUUGCCUUGAGUGCCGGAGAGGAAAGCGGAAUUCCUGGUGUAGAGGUGAAAUUCGUAGAUAUCAGGAGGAACACCAGUGGCGAAGGCGGCUUUCUGGACGGUAACUGA
rnacentral:rRNA from 1 species